rnacentral:rRNA from 1 species
AGCGUACACGGUGGAUGCCCUGGCAGUCAGAGGCGAUGAAGGACGUGCUAAUCUGCGAUAAGCGUCGGUAAGGUGAUAUGAACCGUUAUAACCGGCGAUUUCCGAAUGGGGAAACCCAGUGUGAUUCGUCACACUAUCAUUAACUGAAUCCAUAGGUUAAUGAGGCGAACCGGGGGAACUGAAACAUCUAAGUACCCCGAGGAAAAGAAAUCAACCGAGAUUCCCCCAGUAGCGGCGAGCGAACGGGGAGCAGCCCAGAGCCUGAAUCAGUGUGUGUGUUAGUGGAAGCGUCUGGAAAGGCGCGCGAUACAGGGUGACAGCCCCGUACACAAAAAUGCACAUACUGUGAGCUCGAUGAGUAGGGCGGGACACGUGGUAUCCUGUCUGAAUAUGGGGGGACCAUCCUCCAAGGCUAAAUACUCCUGACUGACCGAUAGUGAACCAGUACCGUGAGGGAAAGGCGAAAAGAACCCCGGCGAGGGGAGUGAAAAAGAACCUGAAACCGUGUACGUACAAGCAGUGGGAGCACGCUUAGGCGUGUGACUGCGUACCUUUUGUAUAAUGGGUCAGCGACUUAUAUUCUGUAGCAAGGUUAACCGAAUAGGGGAGCCGAAGGGAAACCGAGUCUUAACUGGGCGUUAAGUUGCAGGGUAUAGACCCGAAACCCGGUGAUCUAGCCAUGGGCAGGUUGAAGGUUGGGUAACACUAACUGGAGGACCGAACCGACUAAUGUUGAAAAAUUAGCGGAUGACUUGUGGCUGGGGGUGAAAGGCCAAUCAAACCGGGAGAUAGCUGGUUCUCCCCGAAAGCUAUUUAGGUAGCGCCUCGUGAAUUCAUCUCCGGGGGUAGAGCACUGUUUCGGCAAGGGGGUCAUCCCGACUUACCAACCCGAUGCAAACUGCGAAUACCGGAGAAUGUUAUCACGGGAGACACACGGCGGGUGCUAACGUCCGUCGUGAAGAGGGAAACAACCCAGACCGCCAGCUAAGGUCCCAAAGUCAUGGUUAAGUGGGAAACGAUGUGGGAAGGCCCAGACAGCCAGGAUGUUGGCUUAGAAGCAGCCAUCAUUUAAAGAAAGCGUAAUAGCUCACUGGUCGAGUCGGCCUGCGCGGAAGAUGUAACGGGGCUAAACCAUGCACCGAAGCUGCGGCAGCGACGCUGAUGCGUUGUUGGGUAGGGGAGCGUUCUGUAAGCCUGCGAAGGUGUGCUGUGAGGCAUGCUGGAGGUAUCAGAAGUGCGAAUGCUGACAUAAGUAACGAUAAAGCGGGUGAAAAGCCCGCUCGCCGGAAGACCAAGGGUUCCUGUCCAACGUUAAUCGGGGCAGGGUGAGUCGACCCCUAAGGCGAGGCCGAAAGGCGUAGUCGAUGGGAAACAGGUUAAUAUUCCUGUACUUGGUGUUACUGCGAAGGGGGGACGGAGAAGGCUAUGUUGGCCGGGCGACGGUUGUCCCGGUUUAAGCGUGUAGGCUGGUUUUCCAGGCAAAUCCGGAAAAUCAAGGCUGAGGCGUGAUGACGAGGCACUACGGUGCUGAAGCAACAAAUGCCCUGCUUCCAGGAAAAGCCUCUAAGCAUCAGGUAACAUCAAAUCGUACCCCAAACCGACACAGGUGGUCAGGUAGAGAAUACCAAGGCGCUUGAGAGAACUCGGGUGAAGGAACUAGGCAAAAUGGUGCCGUAACUUCGGGAGAAGGCACGCUGAUAUGUAGGUGAAGCGACUUGCUCGUGGAGCUGAAAUCAGUCGAAGAUACCAGCUGGCUGCAACUGUUUAUUAAAAACACAGCACUGUGCAAACACGAAAGUGGACGUAUACGGUGUGACGCCUGCCCGGUGCCGGAAGGUUAAUUGAUGGGGUCAGCGCAAGCGAAGCUCUUGAUCGAAGCCCCGGUAAACGGCGGCCGUAACUAUAACGGUCCUAAGGUAGCGAAAUUCCUUGUCGGGUAAGUUCCGACCUGCACGAAUGGCGUAAUGAUGGCCAGGCUGUCUCCACCCGAGACUCAGUGAAAUUGAACUCGCUGUGAAGAUGCAGUGUACCCGCGGCAAGACGGAAAGACCCCGUGAACCUUUACUAUAGCUUGACACUGAACAUUGAGCCUUGAUGUGUAGGAUAGGUGGGAGGCUUUGAAGUGUGGACGCCAGUCUGCAUGGAGCCGACCUUGAAAUACCACCCUUUAAUGUUUGAUGUUCUAACGUUGACCCGUGAUCCGGGUUGCGGACAGUGUCUGGUGGGUAGUUUGACUGGGGCGGUCUCCUCCUAAAGAGUAACGGAGGAGCACGAAGGUUGGCUAAUCCUGGUCGGACAUCAGGAGGUUAGUGCAAUGGCAUAAGCCAGCUUGACUGCGAGCGUGACGGCGCGAGCAGGUGCGAAAGCAGGUCAUAGUGAUCCGGUGGUUCUGAAUGGAAGGGCCAUCGCUCAACGGAUAAAAGGUACUCCGGGGAUAACAGGCUGAUACCGCCCAAGAGUUCAUAUCGACGGCGGUGUUUGGCACCUCGAUGUCGGCUCAUCACAUCCUGGGGCUGAAGUAGGUCCCAAGGGUAUGGCUGUUCGCCAUUUAAAGUGGUACGCGAGCUGGGUUUAGAACGUCGUGAGACAGUUCGGUCCCUAUCUGCCGUGGGCGCUGGAGAACUGAGGGGGGCUGCUCCUAGUACGAGAGGACCGGAGUGGACGCAUCACUGGUGUUCGGGUUGUCAUGCCAAUGGCACUGCCCGGUAGCUAAAUGCGGAAGAGAUAAGUGCUGAAAGCAUCUAAGCACGAAACUUGCCCCGAGAUGAGUUCUCCCUGACUCCUUGA